rnacentral:tRNA from 1 species
CCGACCUUAGCUCAGUUGGUAGAGCGGAGGACUGUAGUAUUUCCAGAUCAAUCCUUAGGUCACUGGUUCGAAUCCGGUAGGUCGGA